GAUGAAGAACGUAGCGAAAUGCGAUAAGUAAUGUGAAUUGCAGAAUUCAGUGAAUCAUCGAAUCUUUGAACGCACAUUGCGCCCGCUAGUAUUCUGGCGGGCAUGCCUGUCCGAGCGUCAUUUCAACCCUCAAGCCCCCGGGCUUGGUGUUGGGGAUCGGCGAGCCUCCGCGCCCGCCGUCCCCUAAAUCUAGUGGCGGUCUCGCUGUAGCUUCCUCUGCGUAGUAGCACACCUCGCCCUGGGAAACAGCGCGGCCACGCCGUUAAACCCCCAACUUCUGAACGUUUGACCUCGGAUCAGGUAGGAAUACCCGCUGAACUUAAGCAUAUCAAUAAGCGGAGGA
rnacentral:misc_RNA from 1 species